CUACUAUUUAGUAAUUUUUAUAGCUUAAAUGUUUAUUUUCUAAUUUUAAUUUUCAAAGUUUGAUCCUUGCUUAGGUCUUUGUUAUUAAGUUGAUACACAUGUAAGGUAAGUCUUGAAUAUUUUGUUUGUGAAAGCAUUAGUGAGAGCUCUCAGUGUAAAGAAUUGGUAAAUGGGGUUGUUCCUUAACCAGUAAUCUUGAAAGUUCAGGCUAAAUUUGUGCCAGCAGCCGCGGUUAGACUGAUAGAGCAGAUGAAGGUGUGUAAGUGUAUAGUUCAAUUGGUUAUUUUAUUUUUAAUUUUGUUAUAAUGAUAAAAGGUGAAAUUUGGUGUCAAUAAGUGGAGGAGUUAUUGGAUAAGAUAUUUUGAGGCUAUCAAAGUCGGGGUAUAAAACAGGAUUAGAUACCCUGUUAUACCGGGCUGAAAGUAAUUUACUUGAGUAGUAAAUAGUUAUAUUCUCGAAACUUAAAGGAUUUGGCGGUAUUUUAGUCUUGUUAGAGGAACCUGUUCUUUAAACGAUAAACCACGAAUUAUCUUACCUUUUUUUGUAAAUCAGUUUGUAUACCGCCAUUAUUAGAUAGUUUUUACAAAAAUCUGUUGAAAUAGUUUAUAAGCUAGUAUAUUAGGUCAAGGUGCAGCCGAUAAGGAGGAAAGAAAUGGGUUACAAUGGGAUAUGUGUAUAACGGAGGAUAGGAGGAAUGGUAUUUCUAAAGGUGGAUUUAAUAGUAAUUCUUGUUUAAUAAGCAAGUUUGAUAUUAGCUCUAAGAUAUGUACACAUCGCCCGUCGCUCUCAUACUUAAUGUGAGAUAAGUCGUAACAUAGUAGGUGUGUUGGAAAAUAUACCUAGAUUUAG
rnacentral:ncRNA from 1 species